GAGACAAUAGAUCUUUUCUCAAUACUUUACCUAUGUGAUUCAUUUAUGCUUUCUUUAAAUUCCAAUUGCAGAAUUUGGACUUUGGACAACUCCAAAAUAUUUCCCUGUAAUUUUUUCCACUCAUCUUACUUGUGCUAGGUCACUUUUUUUGUUUGGCACACAACAAAUUAGGAAGGCUUAGAUUCCAUCUAAAUUUAGGGCUACUGUCUGGUUUGUGAU
rnacentral:misc_RNA from 1 species